GGGGAAUUGGUGUAGUGGUAGCACAUCGCCAAGCCGUUAGGUGCCGCCGAGGGUAAUGCGAAGGGCACCAGUUCGAUUCUGGGAUUCCUCA